CCCUGCUUCUUUACUGGUAUUUCCAUUGUGCAUUUGUAACUAUGAUUGCUUGGUUUCAACCUCUGAAGUUUGAAACUUCUUGUCCCUCUGGGCCAUGUAUUAUGGAGCUAAUAAGAAACCUAAGAUUUCAUAUUGGAACAUGAGGAAAAUAGCCCACCCCAUCACAGGGAAUUAGAAAGAACUCGAAGGAAUGUUGUGAAAAGGUAUUCCAGUAUGUCUUUACAUGUCAUUCUUGAUAGAGUGAGCCAGUUCCUCAUGGUAUAAGUUGGCAGCAUGUCAUAAAAGUCAGUGCCUUGAAGUCAAUGGAUCUUUCCAUCAUAUAUAUGAAUUCUGCCUUAUGCCUAGCAUGUGACACACCCUUGGAAGAAGAGAUCGCAUGAAAAGGUAGAUGUAUACAGUGAAAAGGACCCUGAGCAGAGAAAACCUUACUCCUGGACCAUGUGUGAGAUUCUGUGCUGUUAUUGCCACAUGUUCUUAUUUCUCCUUUCACUUUGUCUGUAUAGUUGAUUUUGAUAGAUAGUGUGCAUUACAAAGAAUCUGAUUUUAAUGUGUUUGUUACAUAAGGAAUUCUGAUAUGGAAUUUAUAAUAAUUCACAAGUUGUAGAUGACUCCCAAAUAUUCCAGAAACAAGGAAGCCAAUAGAUUAAAACCCAUUUGGUGAUGUGAGUCUUGAAAUGCUGUAUCUAUGCUGAAUUGUCUUUUCAUUGCUUUUAUUAAACAAAUGCUGCUUCACAAAGUAAAGCUCUCAUCUACUUCCUGCUGAGCAGGUUUAAAAAACAUUUUCCACCUUUUCUCUUGAGUCUUACUGUGCAAACUUCAUGGUUCUCCCCACUGUGAUCUGUUUUGCAAAAACAGCCUAUUAAUUGAGAAUGUUUUUUAGUAUUGCCAAAAGGUCACUACUAUCAAUUAUGGAGAAUAUUUGUAAAGAAGAAAUCUUGCUUAUAAUGCAAUAUAACCUGAAUUGUCUAAUUUGUGUGCUGUAAUAAGGCCAAGCCCACUUAUUGAUUAAUCAAUCUUUGUUGUCUGUUUGCUGAUUAUAUCAGGAAGACUCUUAAUGUAAUGGGAUAUCAUACAAAGUGUUUGCUCUGGGUAACGUUUUACAAAACUAUUUAUUGCUAAUAUUACAGUGAAUUUAUUUAACCCAUUUUGAUUUGUAAUGGUAAGCUAGGAACUGAACACUGAACUGUAUUUGGAUUUGAAUUGCGAACAGUAACAUGACUGAGUAAGACCACCAACAGAGAUUUUUUUUUCCUGUUUUGAUAAUCAUUAUUUGAUGUUUUCUAUUGAAAAGUCUUAAUGGUUUGCAAUUAAUACUGCACUGUGAAUUCAUUGUGUGCUUCAAAAAUUAUGUUGGCAUAUGACAUUGGAGGUGGACACUGGUGGCAUGGCAGUAGAGAAUGAACCUUCCCACCAAUAUCCCAUUACUCUUUGUUGCUGUGUGACAGAUGGCAGCAGAGGGGUGGUCUGAUGAAAUGGUGUCUGACAUGGAAGUGCGUAUGAAGCAAAAGUGUGCUGUUGAAUUUCUCUGUGUGGAAAAAAUGGCACCUGCUGACAUUCAGUGAUGCUUGAUGAACAUUUAUAGAGACCAAACAGUGGAUGUGAACGCAGUGAGGCAGUAGGUGGUGUGUUUCAGCAGUGAUGGCAGCAACAGUGGUUCACCUCCACUGCUGCAGGCUCGUGUUCAUUGCUGAUGAAAAUGCAGAGCUAAUGGUGGCAGAUGUUGCAAAAUAGCAUUUUGUAGCUGAAAAUUAUCUGUGUUAUGUAGCGUUAUUGUGCUCUUUGUAUCCAUUGUAGUUUCCAUGGAAAUAAAUAGGAGGCAUUAUUUUUGGAGCAACCUACAUAUAGUGCAUGAUUAUUGUUGAGCAAAAUAAAACUAAGGGCAAAAAAACUGGUUUUGAAUAAAUUCAAAAUGUUUUUCAGACUAUCUUUAAAGAUCUAAUAUUUGGCUACUUUUUAGAAUUCUAAGAAAGAAACAUGGCAUAUUAAACUGAGCGUAGUAUAAUUCAUUUAUCUUCAUAUGUUUCAUAUAUUCAGGGUUUUUAUCUUGUAGCAAAUCAUAAUGUGAAUUGUAGGGCACAGAGUAGUGACAAGAGUUACAUACAUAGAUGAUGUUGUAAGUUAUGGUGUAAUUAUCAUUAUCUCUGUUGGCAUGAAUGCAUCGUUUGCACUAAAUAAUUUCCCUUAUUUUGCUCUGACUCUGUGAUUCAUCUGUGUUCUUCUGUACUGUAGUUGAUGUAAAUGAGCUACAUUAAACUGCCCCCCUGC
rnacentral:lncRNA from 1 species